rnacentral:rRNA from 1 species
UUGUCCUUCAGUUAGGCUGGCCCCAGAACAGGUGCUGCAUGGCUGUCGUCAGCUCGUGUCGUGAGAUGUUGGGUUAAGUCCCGCAACGAGCGCAACCCUCGCCCUUAGUUGCCAGCAUUUAGUUGGGCACUCUAAGGGGACUGCCGGUGAUAAGCCGAGAGGAAGGUGGGGAUGACGUCAAGUCCUCAUGGCCCUUACGGGCUGGGCUACACACGUGCUACAAUGGUGGUGACAGUGGGCAGCGAGACAGCGAUGUCGAGCUAAUCUCCAAAAGCCAUCUCAGUUCGGAUUGCACUCUGCAACUCGAGUGCAUGAAGUUGGAAUCGCUAGUAAUCGCAGAUC